GCGGGGGUAGUUCAGUUGGUAGAACGCUUCCUUGCCAAGGAAGAGGUCGCGAGUUCGAGUCUCGUCCCUCGCUCCA
rnacentral:tRNA from 1 species